GUAUUUCUGCAAUGGAACUGGACUCAUAUCUCCUGCUGGUGUCUGUGAAGCUGGGUUCUUUUGCACCAGAGGAGCUGUUUCUCCUAGACCUUCCAUAACCACAAGCAGUGGGGGGCCAUGUCCCCCAGGACACUACUGCACAGUGGGGAGCAGCGGAGCACAGCCAUGCCCUGCAGGGAGCUACAGCCCAUUCUGGGGCAUGGUGCAGUGUUUGGAGUGCCCAGAAGGCUUUUACUGUAAGGUUGGUUCCAGCAAUUACACGGACUGUCCCGCAGGACAUUACUGCCCAAGGAAUACGGAGUUUGCCACACAGUAUCCCUGUCCACCAGGAACCUACAGUGAGGACUUAAACACGAGGGAUGCCUCCAAGUGCCAGCUGUGUCCCCCUGGAAAAGUCUGCUCCAAAUCAGGCUUGACGAGUCCUGAUGGACCAUGCACACCUGGAUGGUUUUGUCCACCCGGAUCAGCAUCAGGCGAGCCAAUA